CAGUCGCCGCGGGAAUACAGAGGAUGCAAGCGUUAUCCGGAAUGAUUGGGCGUAAAGCGUCUGUAGGUGGCUUUUCAAGUCCGCCGUCAAAUCCCAGGGCUCAACCCUGGACAGGCGGUGGAAACUACCAAGCUGGAGUACGGUAGGGGCGGAGGGAAUUUCCGGUGGAGCGGUGAAAUGCGUUGAGAUCGGAAAGAACACCGGUGGCGAAAGCGGCUCUCUGGCUUGUAACUGACGCUGAGGCUCGAAAGCGUGGGGAGCAAACAGGAUUAGAUACCCGAGUAGUCCCUGUCUCUUAUAA
rnacentral:rRNA from 1 species